AUUGAACGCUGGCGGCAGGCUUAACACAUGCAAGUCGAGCGAGCGGCGGACGGGUGAGUAAUGUCUGGGAAACUGCCUGAUGGAGGGGGAUAACUACUGGAAACGGUAGCUAAUAACGCAUACCAUCAGAUGUGCCCAGAUGGGAGUAGCUAGUAGGUGGGGUAAGGGCUCACCUAGGCGACGAUCCCUAGCGGGUCUGAGAGGAUGACCAGCCACACUGGAACUGAGACACGGACUAGACUCCUACGGGAGGCAGCAGUGGGGAAUAUUGAACAAUGGGCGCAAGCCUGAGGCAGCCAUGCCGCGUUUGUGAAGAAGGCCUUCGGGUUGUAAAGUACUUUCAGCGAGGAGGCGUUACUCGCAGAAGAAGCACCGGCUAACUCCGUGCCAGAAGCCGCGGUAAUAC
rnacentral:rRNA from 1 species